CUUGCACGAGGAAAGAGCUUACGAACUACGAAAAAUUUGAGCGUCUUUUUUAGCUUCUAUUGAUUCAAAAAUAAGGUUAUUUCGGCCCUAUUACCAUGUCUAUUACCUAUUACCACGGCGAGCUUUUCUUAUGCUGGAGGAAGUGGUUUUAAUAUCAUGUCGAGGAUUCAUGGUGUUCAAUUUGCCGGUCACGAUAUAUUUCAGUAUCAAUAAGAAAACGAGAGCACCUUGAAACAAAGAAAGUCAAGGAAGAAAAGGAAUACCUUCCAACUUCUAACAAGACUGAGUGGUGAAUAUCUCUGAUGCUUCAAGCAGACCAAGCACGUAUCAAAUAAGACUGCGAUCCAAGUGAUAAACACGAUUUACUCAGAGGUACAAAACGGAUGUAGCGCACUUUUUACAGAAAAAAAUUUUGAGUCAGAGCGAAGACUCAAGCGUCAAAAUUGGAGACUGAAAAGUAGAUAUUUCGUGAUUAAGGGCUUUUUGAGGAAAAAAAUUUU